rnacentral:rRNA from 1 species
AUACAGAGGGUGCGAGCGUUAAUCGGAAUUACUGGGCGUAAAGCGCGCGUAGGCGGUCUAUUAAGUCAGAUGUGAAAUCCCAGGGCUCAACCUUGGAACUGCAUCUGAUACUGGUAGACUAGAGUUUUGGAGAGGGAAGUCGAAUUUCAGGUGUAGCGGUGAAAUGCAUAGAGAUCUGAAGGAAUACCAGUGGCGAAGGCGACUUCCUGGCCAAAAACUGACGCUGAGGUGCGAAAGCGUGGGUAGCAAACGGGAUUAGAAACCCUAGUAGUCC